rnacentral:lncRNA from 1 species
GUCUUGCUUCACCCUUUUCUGAGGGAAUUUUGCUUAUAAAAAAGGCUAAAAUGAGAACGAAACCCUAAAUCUGAAGAAGAAGAAAAAGAGACCACUUCUCUCUCCUGAAGGUCUAAUCUAUCUUCAAAGCCGCCACCGGUCUAAUGCUUCAAUUUUUCUCUUCAUAUCCGACGAUUAGGUACCCAUUUGUGCAUCUAUUGCUGAUCUAUACAAAUUUAGUUUCUAUAAUUGUGUUCAACUUCCAUGUUAGGGAUCUGGUAAGAAUUUCUUCCGUAUUGUUGAAUAGAGGAGAGAAAUUUUGAUUUAUAUUCGUAUGUUUUAUGUUUUAUGUUUUCAUUUUCAUUUUUUUUUUUUUGGGGAUAAAUAGAGCUUGGAUCUGUCCUUAAUUUGAAGAAACUGCAAUAUAAAAUUCCCAAUUGAAACCUUUUUGGUCAAGUCAUAAAGAAAAUGGGACUCAAUUAAUAAGUUGAUUUUAUUGGUUUUAAUGUUAAUGAAAUGAGUAUAUCCUCAAAACCGCAAUAUGUUCAUUGGAAAGAUGUAUAGUCGAUCUCAAUGAAAAUUUGUUGACAACUUUGAAAGAGAAGUCAGAUACAGGUCUAAUUUUGUUCCAUUCUUUUGUCUUUGCCAGAAGAAAAUGGUGCUAGAGUUCUUCGUUUUCAAGGGGCUUGACAAUUUACUAAAUUUGGAAGGGAAGUCUUGUGUAGAGAUGAAUCACCUGGUGCUCCACUUGAAAACUGUUAUGAAAGUUGGAGUUGCAAAAAAUGAUAUAGCUGGAAGAAAUCGUGAUCUUGGCAUGGGAGGCAUAGGAAAUGUUAUUUCUCGAUUACUCUACUUACAAGGUACAGGUCCUAUGUAUACAAAAUUAGAAAAUUCUUAUAAUGAAUUAGUAGAACUAUUUAUUUGUUAUUCUUUUGAAAAUAGUUACUGGCAAAUGUCAUUGUUAGAAUUCCUGAAUAUGAUAUUAAUUGUUUUUGUAAAAUCAUUGCAUUAUUUUAAUGUUUAAUACGUUGGUAAUGACUAGUUAUCUCCUAUUUAUAGAAUGAGCUGUGUUUUAGUUAUAAACAAAUAUAUAGAUUACAAAUCCAAAAAUUUCUUUGUUUAGAUUUAACCUAUAAUUACUUUAUGGGAAGGAUUUCCUUUGGGGGUAAAAGUUGUUGAUUUGGUAAUAUUUUUUUGUAUGGUUCAUAUUUGCACAAAUUGGAGCGUGAUUGUACAUUGUUUGAGGUGUUCGAUUAUACACUCAAAGAUUUUGUGUUUAAUUAGUGUUAGCAGGAUACUUGAUUCUUUGUUAUUAUCUUGUGAGCAAUACUUAGUCAGUGAAUAAGGUUGUGUUCAGCAUUUUCUUAUGUGUUAAUGAAUUCACGAUCUACCAUUAACGAUUUAACAGGUCAAGUUAUAUUAUGAAAACAAUAGAGAGACAUUUUUGUUUUCCCCCCUUUACGAUGCUCCUUUUGUGAUUUUUGUCUAUAUAUAAUUCCUUAUUUACAGAGUCGUGGACUUGCUGAACCUGCGAUCAGUCAUCCAUAUCUCUCUCUCAAUUAAAAUCAUUCUUGUGACCGGUUUAGUACUAAUAGUAAUAGGCCUCCAUAAGCUGUUUCGAAGGUAUUGGCCGAGAAGGACCCACUUGAAUGAAGAGGAGAGCCACGAAGAAGAAGCUGCAAAUAAUCAUAAUGGGCCGACGGAAGAAAUCGAGCUUAGCGUUGUGGCUUCUCCGUCCGCCAUGCUUGAAAGUGAGUGAGGUUUGAGAAUUCCAAGAAUUGACGUACUGAUAAAAUAUGCUGAAGCUUCAGACAUUCUCAAUGAAUGGCAUGUCGUGUAAUAGUCCACAUAUAUACUUCUAUAUUUUAGGGUAUUUGAAUUUCAUGAUGUAGAACAUUUAUAUUUGGAAAUUUUAAGCAUUUUUAGUUUAAUUUUUAUUUAAGAGAAAAUCGAAACAUUAAACUGUAACUUUUUUAAGGUAUGUACACUCAAAGAUAAUCAAGUAUCACAAGAUAACC